GUUUCCUACGGGAGGCAGCAGUGGGGAAUAUUGGUCAAUGGCCGGAAGGCUGAACCAGCCAAGCCGCGUGAAGGACGAAGGUGCCAAGCAUUGUAAAAUUCUUUUGUCAAGGGACAAAAUCAGGCUCGAGAGCCUGACCGAGGGUACUUGAAGAAAAAGCAUCGGCUAACUCCGUGCCAGCAGCCGCGGUAAUACGGAGGAUGCGAGCGUUAUCCGGAUUUAUUGGGUUUAAAGGGAGCGUAGGCGGACUGGUAAGUAAGCGGUAA
rnacentral:rRNA from 1 species